UCUGCUUUAUGCUGCCAAUUUCAGGAGCCAACUGAGGAGUCUCUUCACCGAGAGCUGGAAGGUGCUGGGCGAUCAAGUCUGUGGUAGAAACAGGAUGGUGUAACUGAGACAAGAUGAAAUCUGUAAACGUUUGGACCUUGAAUCAGUAACACUGCAACGAAAGCCAAAGGCAGGAGUCCAGUUGCUCCGGGACAGUGGAAAUACUUCAGAUGGUUCUUGAGGAGAAAUGAGCAAGUUGAAGAGAGAUGAUGUCAAGGAGAUGAGGUGGUUUGGGUGGGAAACCACAGGACAUGGAGCCACGGACACAGCACAGAUGGGCUAUCCACACCGGCUAAUCGGCCCGACUUCCUCAUGCAGAUGGCACUAAGGCUAGAACUGUCUUCAUUUUUGAAGAAUAAGAACUACAGUCGUGCAAGCUCUGUCCCCUUUCACAACCAGACUAAACCAUGGAAGGAAAUUCAGGUGAUUCACUUUGCUGCAGCUGAACUGACUCUGAAAUCUGACUCUUCCACCAACAAGCAACCUGGGACCUUCACAAGCCCUAAAGCUGUUCCUACUGAGCCCUGCUAAGCUAAGGGAUCACAUUUCAUCAGAGUGAAGGAUGAAACCGCAGGAGCGGGGAGGAAAUGCUUCUCUCGGUGCAGCCUG